rnacentral:rRNA from 1 species
GAUGAACGCUGGCGGCGUGCCUAAUACAUGCAAGUCGAGCGAACAGACGAGGAGCUUGCUCCUCUGACGUUAGCGGAGGACGGGCGAGUAACACGUGGAUAACCUACCUAUAAGACAGGGAUAACUUCGGGAAACCGGAGCUAAUACCGGAUAAUAUAUUGAACCGUAUGGUUCAAUAGUGUAAGACGGUUUUCCAGUCACUUAUAGAUGGAACCUCCCCGCCUUAGCUAGAUGGUAAGGUAACGGCUUACCAAGGCAACGUUGCGAAGCCCACCUGAAAGGGUCACCCCCCACACUGGAUCUGAGCCACGCUCCCGACUCCUACGGGAGGCAGCCGUAGGGUAUCUUCCGCUAAGCACCAGAGCCUGACGGCGCAGCACCGGGGAAUGAAUGAGGGUCUUAGGAUCGUAAAACUCUGUUAUUAGGGAAAGACAAAUGUGUCAGUAACUGUGCACGUCAUGACGGUACCUAAUCAGAAAGCCACGGCUAACUACGUG